rnacentral:tRNA from 1 species
AGCAGAGCGGUUUUGUGGAAAAAGCCAGAACUUGGGAGUCAUAAGACCUGGGUUCUAAUCCCAGCUCUGCUU